UUAAAUUCUAAAGGUAACUACCAAAGUUUUUAAACUAAAUGAAGUGCUUUAUGACAGUUGUAUUUAGUGCCCACAGAAAUAACUUUGGAGAGAGGGAGAGAGAGAGACACUGAAGCUGAGGUUUGCAAGGAGGCUUCUCGUUUCUCUCAGACGAAACGAAUAAAGAACAAAAAACAAAGAUGAGAGAAAUCCACAAAAGUAGAAGAAAUCAAACAAUGGAGGGUACUGAUUAUUACUGCAACAAUGGUGGGGUUUCAAGAAGAGCGUUUUUUUGUUAGGGAAGAAGAAAAAUGAGCUUCAAUACUCUUCCAUGUUGUUGAUCAGAUUCAUUUCGUCAGUAUGUUUUUAAUCUGUUUCUUUUAUUGAUAAAGAUUCGUGUA